rnacentral:rRNA from 1 species
GACGAACGCUGGCGGCGUGCUUAACACAUGCAAGUCGAACGGUGACCUGGGGUGCUUGCACCUUGGUGAUCAGUGGCGAACGGGUGCGUAACACGUGAGUAACCUGCCCCUGACUCUGGAAUAACCCCGGGAAACCGGGGCUAAUACCGGAUAUGACACCAAUCCGCAUGGGUAUGGUGUGGAAAGUUGUUCGGGUGGGGAUGGACUCGCGGCCUAUCGGGUGGUUGGUGGGGUAGGGGCUCACCAGGGCGACGGCGGGUAGCCGGCCUGAGAGGGCGACGGGCCACACUGGAACUGAGACACGGCCCAGACUCCUACGGGAGGCAGCAGUGGGGAAUAUUGCACAAUGGGCGAAAGCCUGAUGCAGCGACGCCGCGUGAGGGAUGACGGCCUUCGGGUUGUAAACCUCUUUCAGCAGGGAAGAAGCGAAAGUGACGGUACCUGCAGAAGAAGCACUGGCUAACUACGUGCCAGCAGCCGCCGUAA